rnacentral:rRNA from 1 species
UGGGGAAUCUUGGACAAUGGGGGCAACCCUGAUCCAGCCAUGCCGCGUGAGUGAUGAAGGCCUUAGGGUCGUAAAGCUCUUUCGCCUGUGAAGAUAAUGACGGUAGCAGGUAAAGAAACCCCGGCUAACUCCGUGCCAGCAGCCGCGGUAAUACGGAGGGGGUUAGCGUUGUUCGGAAUUACUGGGCGUAAAGCGCACGUAGGCGGACCAGAAAGUUGGGGGUGAAAUCCCGGGGGCUCAACCCCGGAACUGCCUCCAAAACUAUUGGUCUAGAGUUCGAGAGAGGUGAGUGGAAUUCCAAGUGUAGAGGUGAAAUUCGUAGAUAUUUGGAGGAACACCAGUGGCGAAGGCGGCUCACUGGCUCGAUACUGACGCUGAGGUGCGAAAGUGUGGGGAGCAAACAGGAUUAGAUACCCUGGUAGUCCACGCCGUAAAACGAUGAGUGCUAGUCGUCGGCAGGCAUGCCUGUCGGUGACGCAGCUAACGCAUUAAGCACU